rnacentral:rRNA from 1 species
GACGAACGCUGGCGGCGUGCUUAACACAUGCAAGUCGAACGGAAAGGCCCUGCUUUUGUGGGGUGCUCAAGUGGCGAACGGGUGAGUAACACGUGAGUAACCUGCCCUUGACUUUGGGAUAACUUCAGGAAACUGGGGCUAAUACCGGAUAGGAGCUCCUGCUGCAUGGUGGGGGUCGGAAAGUUUCGGCGGUUGGGGAUGGACUGGCGGCUAAUCAGCUUGUUGGUGGGGUAGUGGCUUACCCAGGCUUUGACGGGUAGCCGGCCUGAGAGGGUGAACGGGGACAAUGGGACUAAGAGACGGCGCAGUGGCGUACGGGAGGCAGCAGGGGGGAAUAUUGCACAAUGGGGGGAAGCCUGAGGCAGCAGCGCCGCGUGCGGGAUGACGGCCUUCGGGUUGUAAACCGCUUUCGCCUGUGACGAAGCGGGAGUGACGGUAAUGGGUAAAGAAGCACCGGCUAACUACGUG